AAUGAUAGAUAUGCUCUCAAUUAUGACUGAAGUGCAUUAAAGUUAUUGAAUAGUUAAACCUGAUGACUGCUUGCAAUCUGGUUCAUCUCUUCGUUGGAUAUUGGUACUGAUAUUGCGGCUUCAGUUACUUCCACUGCAGUACACCAAAGGGAUUGCCAAGGGCAUCACUAGUGGUUGAUUUGUCUGCUACUGCUCUCCCCUCGAAGCUUUCAUUAUGAAUUUGGAUAGGUUCCUUCAGCAGCAACCUUGUUAGCUGAUGAUGAUUCCGGAACAGUUUCAUCCUCUGUGGCUCCUACAUUGUCUGUUAAUGUAGGAUUCAUGGCUUUAUCACCUGUGUCCGUUGCUUGUUGGGUGGUAUAUGAGUUUACUGGGUAUUCAGCAGUUUUGAGAGGUUCAUUGAGGUCCUUGAAGGAAGAUUCCUGGAGAGUUCCAUCAAACUGUUCGACUGCUCUGUAUGCAAAAGAAAAAGACACGUCUUAAUAAACUGUCUGCGUCCCUUAGCCUACACAGGCAUCUGAAUGAUUCCGACAAAAUAGUCUCAGCAUCUUCGUAAAGGCAAUCUAGGAGUUGGUAUGCAGCAUUGAGAAAAGAAAGCUCCUAGAUGCACCCCUUUAGAUGCUCUUUUGGGUAGGUAAUUUGUUUAGCUAACUCGAGAUUAUGCAGUUUUGAUACUGGGAUUGGUAAAAAUGAAAAGGUUGUGGAUUUGAGGCUAAAAAGAGUGAAUAAAGAGAUUAUGAUAUUAGGAUGAUUUAUAAUGAUCUUGGGAAGGGAUCUUUAUAUUCUUUUGCUUGGUGUUUCAUAAAGGUGGCUAAUGAUUCUCAUGAGUCAAUUCUAGAUCAGGAUGAAAGCAGAAGUUGAGCUUUUCAUGGAAAGGAUGAAGAUCUUUGUCUUAUGUAAGUCUCUCUGCUAAGCUUCAGAUAUCCUUAAUUCUUCUGAAAUUUCUCGUACCUGUAGUUAAUGGCUUUAGAGUCAAUUAUAUGGAUCAUGAGAUACCUGCAAUAAUUUAUCUUUAUAGGAAUGUUGCGAAAAGUAGAGUAGAAGUGACAAAAUGCCACUAGUAGUAUGCUAAUGUAAUGUUGAGUUGGCAAGAUAUGCAAUGGACCUACUGAUUGACUGGUCAUUUGCCCUGGUAGGCCUUUACAGACUGAAUUGCAAAUCAAAUUAGAUAAAUUAUUCUUUCACCUUUAA